AUUCUUUUCUCGCAUGAGAGAAKAUGGAAAGACGGUUUACGCUGUCACUUAUAGAUGGGCCCGCGGCGCAUUAGCUAGUUGGUGAGGUAAUGGCUCACCAAGGCGACGAUGCGUAGCCGACCUGAGAGGGUGAUCGGCCACACUGGGAACUCGAA
rnacentral:rRNA from 1 species